AGGGCAUUGCCCCAGUAACGGCGAGUGAAGCGGCAAGAGCUCAAAUUUGAAAGCUGGCUCCUUCGGGGUCCGCAUUGUAAUUUGCAGAGGAUGCUUCGGGAGCGGUCCCCAUCUAAGUGCCCUGGAACGGGACGUCAUAGAGGGUGAGAAUCCCGUAUGGGAUGGGGUGUCCGCGCCCGUGUGAAGCUCCUUCGACGAGUCGAGUUGUUUGGGAAUGCAGCUCUAAAUGGGUGGUAAAUUUCAUCUAAAGCUAAAUAUUGGCCGGAGACCGAUAGCGCACAAGUAGAGUGAUCGAAAGAUGAAAAGCACUUUGAAAAGAGAGUUAAAAAGCACGUGAAAUUGUUGAAAGGGAAGCGCUUGCGACCAGACUCGCUCGCGGGGUUCAGCCGGCAUUCGUGCCGGUGUACUUCCCCGCGAGCGGGCCAGCGUCGGUUUGGGCGGUCGGUCAAAGGCCUCUGGAAGGUAACGCCCCCUCGGGGGCGUCUUAUAGCCAGGGGUGCAAUGCGGCCUGCCCGGACCGAGGAACGCGCUUCGGCUCGGACGCUGGCAUAAUGGUCGUAAGCGACCCGUCUUGAAACACGGACCAAGGAGUCUAACAUCUACGCGAGUGUUCGGGUGUCAAACCCGUGCGCGAAGUGAAAGCGAACGGAGGUGGGAACCCGCAAGGGUGCACCAUCGACCGAUCCUGAAGUCUUCGGAUGGAUUUGAGUAAGAGCGUAGCUGUUGGGACCCGAAAGAUGGUGAACUAUGCCUGAAUAGGGCGAAGCCCGAGGAAACUCUGGUGGAAGCUCGUAGCGGUUCUGACGUGCAAAUCGAUCGUCGAAUUUGGGUAUAGGGGCGAAAGAUAAUCGAACCUCCGGGACUGGUCUC
rnacentral:rRNA from 1 species